rnacentral:rRNA from 1 species
CAAUAGCGUAUAUUAAAGCUGUUGCGGUUAAAAAGCUCGUAGUUGGAUUUCUGUCAAGGACAACUGGUCCGCCCUCCGGGUGAGCACAUAGUUUGGUCUUGACAUCUUGCUGGAAGCUGUUGCUGCACUUGGCUGUGUGGCGCAGUGUUCAGCACUUUCACUUUGAGGAAAUUGGAGUGUUUCAAGCAGGCACAUGCCUUUGGACACAGUAGCAUGGAAUAAUUAGAUUGGGCUUUUGCUCCAAUUUGUCGGUUUCUGGAGCUGAGGUGAGUAUUAAUGGGGAUUGUUGGGGGCAUCCGAAUUUAGCCGUCAGAGGUGAAAUUCUUGGAUCUGCUAAAGACGGACAACCGCGAAAGCGUUUGCCCAGGAUGUUUUCAUUGA